ACAUCCAGAGAACUUAGCAGAGAUGCUUUGGUGCCUUCGGGAACUCUGAGACAGGUGCUGCAUGGCUGUCGUCAGCUCGUGUUGUGAAAUGUUGGGUUAAGUCCCGNAACGAGCGCAACCCUUAUCCUUUGUUGCCAGCGGCUCGGCCGGGAACUCAAAGGAGACUGCCGGUGAUAAACCGGAGGAAGGUGGGGAUGACGUCAAGUCAUCAUGGCCCUUACGGCCAGGGCUACACACGUGCUACAAUGGCGCAUACAAAGAGAAGCGACCUCGCGAGAGCAAGCGGACCUCAUAAAGUGCGUCGUAGUCCGGAUUGGAGUCUGCAACUCGACUCCAUGAAGUCGGAAUCGCUAGUAAUCGUAGAUCAGAAUGCUACGGUGAAUACGUUCCCGGGCCUUGUACACACCGCCCGUCACACCAUGGGGGUGGGUUGCAAAAGAAGUAGGUAGCUUAACCUUCGGGAGGGCGCUUACCACUUUGUGAUUCAUGACUGGGGUGAAGUCGUAACAAGGUAAGCGUAGCGAG
rnacentral:rRNA from 1 species